UUUGAACUUUCCAUGAAAACAAUAGCCUGUGGUGAAACAGCUUGUCAUGGAUACUAAUGAAAAAUUGCCCGAGACAUCCUGAUGGGAUUCCUCCUGCAUUCAUUCUGCCCUUAAGGUCUGGGAAUUCAGUGAACACAAAAAGAUUUCAUUAUUGCUUCCCUGAUGUAACCAGGAGGAUUUAAAUAACCGAUGGGGGUGGAUACUCCUUUCUUUCUGACCUGAACCUUAUUGCAAAACACCAAAGUGGAUAAAUGUAAAUUCUGAAGUUCCCUGGUUUUCUCCAGGACACACCCAGAAAGAUUCAUCACUCUGACAAAAGUUUAAAUGCUUAUAAUCCACUUGUAAUGGAGCAUUUGGGAUGGAAUUAUAUAUGGAGAACUAUCCAUUUUGAGGGAAGACUUACGGAAAAAUUAUCAGUUCAAUAUGGAUGUGGACACUUACAAAUGAUUCUGUAGGAAAAUCCUGUGGUUUUACUUAACAAAAGUGAAGAUUACAUAUCGUUCAACAUAUCAUCACAAGGCUCUUUCUAUUUGAAGGGGCCAAAGUCUAGAUAUAACUUGUAGCCCCGUGGAAUUCUAUGCCUGAGAACAAAGGGUAAUUUCUGCUCAGCAAUCCUCAGUGGGUAUGUAAAUGAAUGCUGCUGAAAUAUUCAGAAGCUGAUACCAAUACAAAGUGAAGUGUAAUAAUCUAAAUGUGCCAUUGCCUUCCCCUGCUACUAAUUACUUGCUUUAGGCUUUUUUCAACACUGUUUUGUCUCCUUGCCUUUUCUGUACAGACUGAAUGGACAACCCAACUGUAUAGGAUCACUAGAAUUUCUUACCACAACUUUCAAGGAUUGUCUUUAUUUUACUGCCCUGGCUGUACCAGUUAGCAGAGUUGGUUCAAAUUCAAAAAGGCUGGAGUCACAAUUUAUAGGGGCUAAAUUAUUCUUUGUUCCACGGAAACAGAAAUGACUCUGAAAAUGGGGAAAAUAUUCACUGGUUAAAAGAAAGAUCAAAACCAGUGCACCUCAGAACGUAUGUCUAUCCAAAGGCUAACAGUUGGUGCCAUUUUUGGAUAGAACAACAGCUCACUGGUAACAUAAUGCCAUUCUCUUAAACAAAACUCUCAAUAUAAUGUAUGGACCUAUGCUUUGUUUAUACUUUCUAUCUAGCCCCUUAAGAAAGUGUCCCCUCCUUACAGGAGUACUGAUGCAUAGGGCACUUGUACCCCAAUGUUUAUAGCAGCAUUCUCAACAAUAGCCAAAUUAUGGAAAGAGCCUAAAUGCC